AUGAGUUUACGGCAUCUCUCAAAUGACGUUGGUGCGGAUGGGACUCUCUCCCGCCUGGUUUCCAAUUUCCAGUCAAAGAAUUGGUGGCGAGCCUGAGU
rnacentral:ncRNA from 1 species